CUGGGCUAGGGUGACGUUCCCUCGGAGCUAAUGCGCACCCCCGCAGGCCGUCCGUGCGUGGACUGCCACGCGUUCGAGUUCAUGCAGCGCGCCCUGCAGGACCUUCGGAAGACGGCCUACAGCCUGGACUCUCGGACGGAGACACUCCUGCUGCAGGCCGAGCGCCGGGCCCUGUGUGCCUGUUGGCCUGCCGGGCGCUGAGGAUCUUCAGACAGCGCUGUUCCCUCAUCAAUAAACACCCGGCCCAGCACAUUGUGUCCUGUCUCCCUGUUCUGGCCAUCAGAGCCCCCCUGCGUCGCCCCCAGGGGUCCCUGGUAUGGGACUUGGUUUCCCCAGCUGUUCGUGUGGGCCACACCAGGGCCAGUGCUAAGCAGAUACAUGUGUCUGGCCCCACGUGUGGACAUGCGCCCAUAGGCACUGCGUGGCCACUGCAAGUCUGCCUUCAGACUUGCCAGGAGAGGGUAGAAGCUGGCCUCGUCCCCUGGAACAGCUGUCCCAGUGCUGAGCGCCCCCAGGCUCCUCUGCACUGCAUUGGGGAUGGCUGUAGUGGGAGCUCCCUGCGGGCCCGGCCAGUGGACCCCCACAGCCAGGGAAGGCUCCUCCAGGAACAGAGGGCUGGCACGGUCCCCCAGCCUCCACCUAGCCUGCUGGGCCCCUCCUACAGCCCCAGCCCAGCCCAUGGGCUCCAGGGAGUACGAAUCUGGGCCUGAAUACAAGCGUGGUGCCUGUGGGUAACAGACCCAUAGUCCUCCACAGGUGUGUGCGUAGCACCAGCAGGAGUCCUGCAGGUGAAGCAGGCGACCCUGCCGCCAUCCCUCCAUUCAGUCCAUCAGUGUGUUGUGAUAUCCGAGCAGAGCUUCGUAGCCUCUGGGAGCACGGCAGGGCUGGAAGUGACAGCCGUGGGACACUUGGCCUUGCUGGGGUUUUAAUCCCCUGGUUGUGGCUGCCAGAGAGGAGAGGCUCGCCCUGCUGUAGCUUAGGAGUCCCCACCCCCAGCCUCUCCAAGUCGUGCGUGCGUUUACUCAGAGCCUUCCUCCAGGCCUCAGCCCCACAGCACCCGCCCUGCCCUUGCUCCCACCCCAGGACCUUUCCUGUCCUCAGUGCUUUUCUGCCUAGAAGGGCCUGGCAUGCAGCUGCCGAUCCUCGUGUCUGGACCACAAUGAACAAACCAGAGUCCUACCGUGGUCGUGGUGGGAGGUUGAGCUAGACGCCUGGUGAUGCCUGUGAACUCUAAGGCAGGCCAGAGAGAGACGAGGGAGUGCUGAAGCCGUGUGAAGCUUAGACCAGCCUUCAGUUCUGGAAAGCAGCAGGGUACUCAGUGGAAGGGAUCAGAAUUCUCCUGUCCUGGGGCCCCAGAAAGGAGCAGAGGGCUGGCUGAGGCAGGUGCCUUCCCUCCGGCCCCGCCCCGACCGUGCGGAUGUUCCAUUGGUUGGCUUCAGUCACGUGGCCAUUCCUGGCUGGCAGGAAGGUGGGGACGGACCUUGUCCUCUGCUUGGGUUGUCCAAUUCAGCAAAUACAGAUCUAGGACCAAUGAACACUUUUCAGUAUAAAAAGUACAAGUACUUCUAGUGUAAG
ensembl:lncRNA